rnacentral:rRNA from 1 species
CCUACGGGGGGCAGUAGUAGGGAAUAUUGCUCAAUGGGGGAAACCCUGAAGCAGCAACGCCGCGUGGAGGAUGAAGGUUUUCGGAUUGUAAACUCCUUUUGUUAGAGAAGAUAAUGACGGUAUCUAACGAAUAAGCACCGGCUAACUCCGUGCCAGCAGCCGCGGUAAUACGGAGGGUGCAAGCGUUACACGGAAUCACUGGGCGUAAAGAGCGCGUAGGCGGGAUAGCAAGUCAGAUGUGAAAUCCUAUGGCUUAACCAUAGAACUGCAUUUGAAACUGUUAUUCUAGAGUAUGGGAGAGGUAGGUGGAAUUCUUGGUGUAGGGGUAAAAUGCGUAGAGAUCAAGAGGAAUACUCAUUGCGAAGGCGACCUGCUAGAACAUAACUGACGCUGAUGCGCGAAAGCGUGGGGAGCAAACAGGAUUAGAUACCCUUGUAGUC